UACGGAGGGUGCAAGCGUUAUCCGGAUUCACUGGGUUUAAAGGGUGCGUAGGCGGGUAAGUAAGUCCGUGGUGAAAUCUCUGAGCUUAACUCAGAAACUGCCGUGGAUACUAUUUGCCUUGAAUAUUGUGGAGGUGAGCGGAAUACGUCAUGUAGCGGUGAAAUGCUUAGAUAUGACAUAGAACACCAAUUGCGAAGGCAGCUCACUACACAAUCAUUGACGCUGAGGCACGAAAGCGUGGGGAUCAAACAGG
rnacentral:rRNA from 1 species